rnacentral:sRNA from 1 species
AAAAGGGGGGGAAAGAAAGAAAGAGAAAAAGGAGGGCGAGUGGCGAGCAGGGGCCUCGGCCGCCACCCACACGCCCCGAAGCGUGCUCGUCCCCCGCGCGGGGCUCCCGGCCGCCGCCCUCGGCCAUCGGCUGCUCCCCGGUGGCCCAGGCCUCGGACUCCGCGGCCGGCCCGGCGCGGCCCAGCGCCCUCAGGUGUAUACCAAGGACUGGAAUUGCUGGGCCAAGCUUUGUGUUUUAAGGAAAAAAAAAAUCAUGUUUUAGUUUCGUGCUGGUAAUUUGAAGUAAGCAGAUGUCUAGAUAUAAGCUUGGAAACUGGCCAGUUGGAGAUUGCUCACGGCUGCAAUUGAAGACUCCAGCAGCCUCUUCUCCUCUUUGCUUCCAUUUGGAGAGGAAGGCGUCAUAGGCUGUGUGACUUCCGUGGACGCGGGGCUUGGCACCGGCUUGCAGUUGGGAUCAAUCUUCAGUGGCGGUUUGGAGUGGGUCA